UUUGGGUGCCUUCAAGAGAGGGGAGAGAAGAAAUGGCUGGCGGCUGCAAAGGGGGGAAGGGGCUAGCGCCUCCCUUCCUUUCUUUCCUUUUAUGGACUGGUAGCAAGAAACCCUAGGGUUUCUUGCUCUUGGGGCAUGGAAGAUGGCUGGAGAGAGAGGGAGAAGAGAGAGAGAGACUUGGGAGAAAGAGUUGUCUAUUUUCUUGGCUUAAUCAAACCUAUACAAGUACAUGUAUAUAUAAACACUGGGUCAAGUGACCCAAACCCAAAACUCCCUUGACCAACUCUAUGGGAGAUUAGGUUAACCCAAGCCCAUGUACACCCA
rnacentral:lncRNA from 1 species